rnacentral:sRNA from 1 species
GAUCUGGCUGAAAUAUUUGUCACCUCAUUGAUUGCUAGGGUUGAUUUAUUCAGCUUAUCUGGCUGAACUAGAUGGGUGUCUCCUUCCU